GGAGGCUAUAUACAGGGGGUACCGGUACAGAGUCAAUGUGGAGGCUAUAUACAGGGGUACUGGUACAGAGUCAAUGUGGAGGCUAUAUACAGGGGUACCAGUACAGAGUCAAUGUGGAGGCUAUAUACAUGGGUACUGGUACAGAGUCAAUGUGGAGGCUAUAUACAGGGGGUACCGGUACAGAGUCAAUGUGGAGGCUAUAUACAGGGGUACUGGUACAGAGUCAAUGUGGAGGCUAUAUACAGGGGGUACCGGUACAGAGUCAAUGUGGAGGCUAUAUACAGGAGGUACCGGUACAGAGUCAAUGUGGAGGCUAUAUACAGGGGGUACCGGUACAGAGUCAAUGUGGAGGCUAUAUACAGGG
ensembl:lncRNA